rnacentral:rRNA from 1 species
GUAGUUGAAUUUUCGUCCCACACGGGUAAUGUACCCAAGUGCGGGUUUGCAUUACUUGUUGCCUAUGCAUUGGUAAAACAAUGUGUAAGUGACUUUAAGUGUGAUGGAUGUUUUACCGGUGACACCCUCUCACAUGUGUAAUUUAUUGCACUGUGAAGAGAUGUUAUGUAAAAAACCCAUUUUAGUGCUCUUCAUCGAGUGCUAUUGUGGGCCGGUACAAUUACUUUGAACAAAUUAGAGUGCUUAAAGCAGGCUAAAUGUAAUGAAAAUUAUAACGCCUGAAUAUAUUUUGCAUGGAAUAAUGGAAUAGGACCUCUGUUCUAUUUGAUUGGUUUCUAGAUCAAGAGGUAAUGAUUAAUAGAAGCGGUUGGGGGCAUUAGUAUUACAAGGCGAGAGGUGAAAUUCGUAGACCCUUGUAAGACUGACUUAAGCGAAAGCAUU